AAAAGACUAAAGACCCAGCUCUUUCGCGAACAUCUCUACACUUGAUGAAAUGAAGCUCAGCCUCCUGGUGCUGCGUACCUGGCCACCCAGUGAGAGGGAUGUGUCCUCCACAGGGACCUGAUCAGGGAUUUGGCUUCACCCCAGCCAGCCAAGGAAAGAGAGGGGGGGGGGAUCAAGAGCCUCUCCGCUCAGUGAAGGGGCUCCAUAUGGGAGUGGAGUGAGAAGUCUCCCAGAUCAGCUACCAUCUGGGAAAGAGGACAAUAUGCCAGGAAUAGCAUGCAGAGAGUAAAAGAAAGAGAGGGAGUGAGUGAAACACAACAACAGAAUAGAUGGCUUGAAAAACUGACAGAGUGAAGAAUUGGGAACGGGGCAGGAGAAGGAGAAGAUGGAUUGAUAGGAGGGCUGACAGAAAGAAAAGCAGCCAGUUUAGAGGGAUGUUGUUUUCAUCUGCUCUCUUGGCCCAACAACCAGCAUUUAAGCUUUUCCUCCCAAGGUUGAGCCUCGGUCCCUUGUGUCUUCUCAGUGACAUAUGUUUUGGUUACUAAGAACCAACUGGACCUAUGAAGACCUCUAUUGCAGGCAGACAGACAUCUCAGACACCAAACAAAUCAAACCAAAUAUUCUACAUGGCACUAGAGGUACAUCAGUGAGAAAAUAUUUUGGUUUGUUUGCUUUGUUUUGUACUUUGGGUGAAUCAACCAUGUUAAAAGUCUGCUAAUUUUCCAGCUAAAUCAAUAAAUCAUAAUUACUGCAGUAGUAGUAGUAUUGUUGUUGUUGCUGCUGUUCUUUUUCUUUUGGGGGUGGUUAAUAUUCUUUCAGAUAUUUUUGUGUCUACUCUGAAAGACUCCCUCUUGUUAUAGCUUACACAGAACUGCCUUGGCUCCUGUUUGUAGUAGCAAACUAAUCAAAAUAUUGCAAUGUAAUUGGUGGGUAGUGAUGUGUAGCCUGUAAUUACUGCAGUCAAAGUGGCCUUUAUUCUCCAGCACUAUCUUUGAGGGAUGUGGGAGAGGGUCAGCAUUCUGCAAUCGUGGAUGUUACAGUUUGUCAGAAAUUGAAAAAUCUAUUGUCAUGCCAGUCAUUAUCUCUUUAUGUUACAUAAGAGAGAAAUUCCUGUUUUGUCUUGAGCAAAUGUGACCUUGGUCGGGCAGAGUGUGUGCAAACAAUUAUUUUGUGAUUAUUUUUAAUUUUGGAUC